rnacentral:lncRNA from 1 species
AUCCUGGAACUGAGUCCUGAAGCUGGACUGAAAGGAACAAACCAAAGGAAUGAAUGCUGCAAUGGGAAGCUCUGAGCACAGAAAUGCCGGUGCAGUCUGAGUUGUCUCUUGGUCAGAUAAGAGUGAUUUCAGGAAACCCAGCAGAAAGACCUGAGUUUCCAGGACAUGGUGAUCCAGAGAAGAGCAGAAAUGUUUAUUCAUGUCCCCAUGAUCCCAUAAUGAGCCAGCCUUCCCUGGAGCUGCGUGAGUCUCUCUGCAAGUCUGCUCCUCCUGCAGAUUCCUCGGAUGCCACAUGCCAGAAGAGGCUCCUUCACAUUCACCAGGCUAUGGGAAAUGCCAAAACUGCCCUCAAAACCAUAACAGAUGGUUUCCAUGCAAGUAAAGGCUACUGAUAUGUGAAUGUCGUUGUACAGAUCUGCAUGUCCUGUCCUGCUGCUAAAAAUUCAUCUAAUAGAGAUUUCUCUGCUUACCCUCAGACAGAUGAUGUGCACCCUAUGUCUGUAAGGCAUAUAUUUUUUAACUUGUUUUCAGUUCUAAAAUUAUUCUGUGGCAAAGUAUGAAUUAACACCAAAUAUUUAAUAACUCAUUCUUUUACAGCUGACCAAUGCAGCAAUGAAAAGGAUGGUAGAAAACCAGGGUUUGCAGGCCAGCAAUUUCUCUGCAUAAUAGAUGUUUGUGUGGCAACAAGCACAUGGUGACUGGCUUAUCUUCUGCUCAAGGCAACAAUGUCUUCCAAAGAUACAGCACUUAAUAGAGAGGCACUGCAUUCUCUUUGCUUUAUUGAGACCUCCACUGCAGUGUGAACCGUGCUCCAAAUGGCUUUUCCCCAACCUUCUGAGGAAUAAGAGGAAGGAACAAACAGAGAAGCAGCGACAGAGCUCCUGCUGAAAGCAAUGAUUCUGCUGGCCAAGGAACUGGCUGUACUUAGUAUUUACUGUAAGGAAGACUGGGCUGUGCCCAGGAAAAAAAGAAAAGGAGCAAUACGCAACGGAGAGAAAAAGUAAUGUUCUAACAUUAUUGCUUUCUAAAUAUUUGAAAUGUAAGGAGUCACAAGACAAAGCAAAGGAUUAAAUCCAAGUAAAAAGACACAGAAUUACCUUACAUGUUUUUUGUCAAAUGUGAAUAGUGUUUGCAUGACCCUUUAAAUGCCUAAAGCUUCAGGUGUGCUUUUUUUUUCUUUACAUAUUCUUCAGAGCUCUGCUUUUUGCAUCUUCUGCUCUGAGUGUUUACUCCACACCUACAACAACAUGGCUAUGGACACAAGGUGACUUUCUGCCUCAGUCCUGGAGGCUGCUGGGUCAAGCCCUCACAACACAUAUGGGGCCACUUCUGCUGGAAACCUGGGAGUUCUGGGAGUUGCUUAGACUUACCCAGUAAAUGGAGGCCUGAGUU